CCGACUUUGAGAAUCUGAUUUGGUUUGAACUAAGGGAUUUUCAAGCUUCACUAGGGUCUCCUUUGCACACCUUCCAGCUCUUGCUUUGCAAGGUGGUUCGUGAUGUCAUCACUUAGGAUUUGAGAGCACAAAGUGAACUGUCUAACCACAGAUUCAAAGCAAUUCCCUAAGAUGACUGCCUUGGAGACCUAGGUGGCAAGACACACAGCUUGCAUUAAAUGGCAGUAAAUACAGCCGUGUGCUAAGCGAAGCAAUAACAACUAAACCUAUCGACUUUAACUGAGGUUGAGAAAACAAAAGACCUUCUAGUUUAUGGUGGCCCCAUGCCAGGAGACUGCUGAGACUGGAGAAAAAUCAGACUGCAGACUGAAGAAUGCUAUCUUCUAACAAGAAUGUGCUCGUGAAAAAAACUUUAGGAGCGCAGUUUUGUCAGGCUUCUUCCAGAAUG
rnacentral:lncRNA from 1 species